AGGAUACUAUUGCAAUUAGCUGGAUGGGAGAUGAGCAAGAGACAUUGCUGUUAUUCCACCAACACUGUAGCAGUGGAGGCGGUGAAGAGUUGUUGGAUUUUGAAAGUAAUCUGUAGGAUUCACCGGUGGUUGGAUUUGGGGUGUAAGAGAAAGAGAAGAAUCAAAGAUAACCCCAAGAUGAUUGGCCUGAGUGCCGCACCCCCACACACCCCAAAGGGAGUUACUAUUAACUACGAUGGAGAAUCAGGGGAAAAACUGGUUUUGGAGGAAAGGUUCUGUAGCCUGGCCUGAGAAUUAAAAUGACACAAGACAGAUUAAUAGAAGAAAAGAUAUACAUCUUAUUUAAUACAUUUAUAUGCAUACAAGAGCCUUCAAAAGGAAAACGAAGAUCUGAAGGAGUUGCUAAGGGAUGGACUUUGGCCCACUUCGGCCACGCAGAUGAGGACAGCACCUACGUGAUGGUGCAUUGUGAAGCUGGACUGAGCACCUUUGAGCUGGGCUAUCUGCUCUUUAUCUUCUUUGUCCCUUAGAACUGUUACCUGAAAGAAAGAAAUACUUGUCUUUUGUGAGCUUUUGCAUUUUGAAAUCGCUUUAUGGCAGCACGGCCUAAUAAAGAUAGCAUAUGUUGUGUUUAAAUGUAGUCUAAAUUUUUAAAAUUCAAGAUCAAGGAAACAAGUAUAUUUUAAAUUAACAUAAUCAAAGUGUCAAACCUAGUACUUAUUUACCCAAUGUGUGUGUUUCAAUAGUAUUUGAAACUACUGUUUGGAAUGGCAAAUGAAC
rnacentral:lncRNA from 1 species